ACAGACACAUGCAGAGGCUUGUCAUACAAAUCUCCUAGGUGCCUCUUAGUCCAGUCAAGGUGACCAGAGAGAUGACCUAUCGCACAGAGCUAGCAUGUGUCAGAAUCCUGAGGUGUGGAGGCAUCUGCUUUGUUGUAAGAAGCCAUGUGAUAGGAUGCAGAGGAUGGUGAACCAUGGCCAGUGGGGUUGCUCUGACUGUGGGGUCAACUGAAGACAACAAGAAUGGCAGGAAAACAUGGUUUAAGGAUGGAUGUUUCCAGGUAACAGAGAAGAGGAUGAGAGCUGGGACCAGGGACUAAGCUUUGGAGUCCGCAAAGGCUCCAUCCUGUCCAGGAGGAAGGAGCAUUCUGGCUACUGUGGUAGUUUUUCAGGAUGAAUGGCUUAGAGUUUGGAACCGUCCUCCUGUGAGGCAGACAGCAGGCCUGGCUUUGAGGCUCAUUCUCCUGAGGAUAGACGUGACUCAUCAUUCAGGAUGUUGUGUCAUCCUUAAAUGAACAUGGAAUUUGUGGCCAGAUCGUCUUCCCCUGUGGACACGUGUGACAAUUAGGGAAAGAGCAGAGAGGUGGUAGAGUGGAGGACCAAGCAUGUCCAGUGGGAGCCUGGUGACAGAAGUUGUCAGCUACAAGUCAAAGAAAGGCAUCUUGAGAACUCGUGACCGUGUCUGCGUCCUAAGGCUGUGGAAACC
ensembl:lincRNA Gm33347 predicted gene, 33347